rnacentral:rRNA from 1 species
GGGAAUUUUGGACAAUGGGCGAAAGCCUGAUCCAGCAAUGCCGCGUGUGUGAAGAAGGCCUUCGGGUUGUAAAGCACUUUUGUCCGGAAAGAAAUCCUCUGGGUUAAUACCUCGGGGGGAUGACGGUACCGGAAGAAUAAGCACCGGCUAACUACGUGCCAGCAGCCGCGGUAAUACGUAGGGUGCAAGCGUUAAUCGGAAUUACUGGGCGUAAAGCGUGCGCAGGCGGAUUUGUAAGACGGAUGUGAAAUCCCCGGGCUUAACCUGGGAACUGCAUUCGUGACUGCAAGGCUAGAGUAUGGCAGAGGGGGGUAGAAUUCCACGUGUAGCAGUGAAAUGCGUAGAGAUGUGGAGGAAUACCGAUGGCGAAGGCAGCCCCCUGGGCCAAUACUGACGCUCAUACACGAAAGCGUGGGGAGCAAACA